GCUCGCUUCGGCAAAACAUAUACUAAAAUUGGAACGAUACGGAGAAGAUUAGCAUGGACCCUGCACAAGGAUGAAACGCAAAUUCAAGAAGCAUUGCAUAUUUUU